rnacentral:misc_RNA from 1 species
GAUGAAGAACGUAGCUAAAUGCGAUAAGUAAUGUGAAUUGCAGAAUUCAGUGAAUCAUCGAAUCUUUGAACGCACAUUGCGCCCCCUGGUAUUCCGGGGGGCAUGCCUGUCCGAGCGUCAUUGCUGCCCUCAAGCACGGCUUGUGUGUUGGGCCUCCGUCCUCCUCCCGGGGGACGGGCCCGAAAGGCAGCGGCGGCACCGCGUCCGGUCCUCGAGCGUAUGGGGCUUCGUCACCCGCUCUUGUAGGCCCGGCCGGCGCUUGCCGACACAUCAAUCUUUUUUCCAGGUUGACCUCGGAUCAGGUAGGGAUACCCGCUGAACUUAAGCAUAUCAAUAAGCGGAGGA